UACGAAGGGGGCUAGCGUUGCUCGGAAUGACUGGGCGUAAAGGGCGCGUAGGCGGAUGGCACAGUCAGAUGUGAAAUUCCCGGGCUUAACCUGGGGGCUGCAUUUGAUACGUGCGAUCUAGAGUGAGGAAGAGGGUCGUGGAAUUCCCAGUGUAGAGGUGAAAUUCGUAGAUAUUGGGAAGAACACCGGUGGCGAAGGCGGCGACCUGGUCCUUGACUGACGCUGAGGUGCGAAAGCGUGGGGAGCAAACAGG
rnacentral:rRNA from 1 species